rnacentral:rRNA from 1 species
AUUGAACGCUGGCGGCAUGCUUUACACAUGCAAGUCGAACGGUAACAGGUCUUUCGGGAUGCUGACGAGUGGCGAACGGGUGAGUAAUGUAUCGGAACGUGCCCAGUAGUGGGGGAUAACUACUCGAAAGAGUGGCUAAUACCGCAUGAGAUCUCUGGAUGAAAGCGGGGGACCGUAAGGCCUCGCGCUACUGGAGCGGCCGAUAUCAGAUUAGGUUGUUGGUGAGGUAAAGGCUCACCAAGCCGACGAUCUGUAGCUGGUCUGAGAGGACGACCAGCCACACUGGGACUGAGACACGGCCCAGACUCCUACGGGAGGCAGCAGUGGGGAAUUUUGGACAAUGGCGCAAGCCUGACGCAGCCACGCCGCGUGAGCGAUGAAGGCCUCGUCGU